GAUCCUGGCUCAGAUUGAACGCUGGCGGCAGGCCUAACACAUGCAAGUCGAACAGUAACAGGAAGAAGCUUGCUUCUUUGCUGACGAGUGGCGGACGGGUGAGUAAUGUCUGGGAAACUGCCUGAUGGAGGGGGAUAACUACUGGAAACGGUAGCUAAUACCGCAUAACGUCGCAAGACCAAAGAGGGGGACCUUCGGGCCUCUUGCCAUCGGAUGUGCCCAGAUGGGAUUAGCUAGUAGGUGGGGUAACGGCUCACCUAGGCGACGAUCCCUAGCUGGUCUGAGAGGAUGACCCAGCCACACUGGAACUGAGACACGGUCCAGACUCCUACGGGAGGCAGCAGUGGGGAAUAUUGCACAAUGGGCGCAAGCCUGAUGCAGCCAUGCCGCGUGUAUGAAGAAGGCCUUCGGGUUGUAAAGUACUUUCAGCGGGGAGGAAGGGAGUAAAGUUAAUACCUUUGCUCAUUGACGUUACCCGCAGAAGAAGCACCGGCUAACUCCGUG
rnacentral:rRNA from 1 species